GUACGGUAGAAUGGUAUAUUAACCGGAGGUUCCAUCUGGCUUGCUUUAGAAUGGUUGAGUGACAGAAUGUAGUGAUCCUGGGAUUUAUUGAUAUCCCUAGUUGUAAGGAAAUCGGUGGCCGUUAGAUUAAUACAGGUAAGAUCCCUUGGUCUUAUGAAACCGUAAAAGGCUAGGUAUAUGGCUGUUUUGAUUAUCACCAUUAGUAUUUGGUUCGAAAGAAGAAGUAUCUAAUAAACUAGAUAGGGAUUGGAACAAUUUACCUUGGAUGGGUAGUCUCUUAGGGGGUAAUAUUUUGUUGGAUUUCUGUAUCCAUUUCAGGAAAGGUUUUAAU